GCUUCGUGCUUAUAGAUUUGAAAACUAUGCAAAACGCACAGUCGAUGAGACGCGACGGUCGUGGGUUCGAUCCCCUCCUGGAGCA
rnacentral:tRNA from 1 species